rnacentral:rRNA from 1 species
GACGAACGCUGGCGGCACGCUUAACACAUGCAAGUCGAACGAAGAUGUUUCACCGUAGCUUGCUACACCGAGACAUUUUAGUGGCGGACGGGUGAGUAACACGUGAGCAAUCUGCCUUUCAGAGGGGGAUACCAGUUGGAAACGACUGUUAAUACCGCAUAACAUAUCGAGAUCGCAUGAUAUUGAUAUCAAAGAUUUAUCGCUGAAAGAUGAGCUCGCGUCUGAUUAGAUAGUUGGUGAGGUAACGGCUCACCAAGUCGACGAUCAGUAGCCGGACUGAGAGGUUGGACGGCCACAUUGGGACUGAGACACGGCCCAGACUCCUACGGGAGGCAGCAGUGGGGAAUAUUGCACAAUGGGCGCAAGCCUGAUGCAGCAACGCCGCGUGAAGGAUGAAGGUUUUCGGAUCGUAAACUUCUAUCAACAGGGAAGAACGACCUGUAUAGGAAAUGAUACAGGAGUGACGG